UACGUAGGGUGCGAGCGUUAAUCGGAAUUACUGGGCGUAAAGCGUGCGCAGGCGGCUUUGCAAGACAGAGGUGAAAUCCCCGGGCUCAACCUGGGAACUGCCUUUGUGACUGCAAGGCUAGAGUACGGCAGAGGGGGAUGGAAUUCCGCGUGUAGCAGUGAAAUGCGUAGAUAUGCGGAGGAACACCGAUGGCGAAGGCAAUCCCCUGGGCCUGUACUGACGCUCAUGCACGAAAGCGUGGGGAGCAAACAGGAUUAGAUA
rnacentral:rRNA from 1 species